CCGGCUGGGGGACAAUGUCAGGUGGGGAGUUUGACUGGGGCGGUCGCCUCCGAAAGGGUAUCGGAGGCGCUCAAAGGUUCCCUCAGAAUGGUCGGAAACCAUUCGAAGAGUGCAAAGGCAGAAGGGAGCUUGACUGCGACACCGACGGGUGGGGCAGGUACGAAAGUAGGACUUAGUGAUCCGGUGGUAUUAAGUGGGAAUGCCAUCGCUCAACGGAUAAAAGCUACCCUGGGGAUAACAGGCUUAUCACUCCCAAGAGUUCACAUCGACGGAGUGGUUUGGCACCUCGAUGUCGGCUCAUCGCAUCCUGGGGCUGUAGUAGGUCCCAAGGGUUGGGCUGUUCGCCCAUUAAAGCGGUACGCGAGCUGGGUUCAGAACGUCGUGAGACAGUUCGGUCCCUAUCCGGCGUGGGCGUAGGAUAUUUGAGAGGAGCUGACCUUAGUACGAGAGGACCGGGUUGGACUGACCUCUGGUGCACCGGUUGUCAUGCCAAUGGCACAGCCGGGUAGCCAAGUCGGGAAGGGAUAAACGCUGAAGGCAUCUAAGCGUGAAGCCCCCCUCAAGAUGAGAUAUCCCCCGCAUAAGCGGUAAGACCCCUUGAAGACGACGAGGUAGAUAGGGCAGAGGUGGAAGUGCAGUAAUGUAUGGAGCUGACUGCUACUAAUAGGUCGAAGGCUUAACCAAG
rnacentral:rRNA from 1 species